AAAGAGAGGUGCGUCACAAUNGACAACUUAAGUACCAAGUCUCUCCUAGCCAGAGUAUAUUCAAACUAGCUUUAAGUGUUUCUCAAGAGAAAUUCUUAAUUAAAGCANGAACAAAGAGUUUUUCUGAAGAAUAACUAAAUGCUACAAAAUAACUCAAACUAAAUUAAAUGUAUAUGCGUUAGGAAAAAAAACAAAUAAAUAAAAAUAAAAAUAAAAAUGAGAAUCAAAAUAUUCAAAAUACUUAC
rnacentral:lncRNA from 1 species